AGUGAACGCUGGCGGUAGGCCUAACACAUGCAAGUCGAACGGCAGCACAGUAAGAGCUUGCUCUUACGGGUGGCGAGUGGCGGACGGGUGAGGAAUACAUCGGAAUCUACUUUUUCGUGGGGGAUAACGUAGGGAAACUUACGCUAAUACCGCAUACGACCUACGGGUGAAAGCAGGGGAUAUUCGCACCUUGCGCGAUUGAAUGAGCCGAUGUCGGAUUAGCUAGUUGGCGGGGUAAAGGCCCACCAAGGCGACGAUCCGUAGCUGGUCUGAGAGGAUGGUCGGCCACACGGGAGCUGAGACACGGUCCAGACUCCUACGGGAGGCAGCAGUGGGGAAUAUUGGACAAUGGGCGCAAGCCUGAUCCAGCCAUACCGCGUGGGUGAAGAAGGCCUUCGGGUUGUAAAGCCCUUUUGUUGGGAAAGAAAAGCAGCAGGUUAAUACCCCGCUGUUCUGACGGUACCCAAAGAAUAAGCACCGGCUAACUUCGUG
rnacentral:rRNA from 1 species